GCGCUUGCAGGCGGUCGCGGGUUUCUACCCUGUCGGUUGGGGGUUCGAGUCCCUCCGGGCGCA
rnacentral:tRNA from 1 species